rnacentral:rRNA from 1 species
CCUACGGGAGGCAGCAGUGAGGAAUAUUGGUCAAUGGUCGGGAGACUGAACCAGCCAAGCCGCGUGAGGGAUGAAGGUACAGAGUAUUGUAAACCUCUUUUGUCAGGGAACAAAGGCGGGGACGCGUCCCCGGAUGAGUGUACCUGAAGAAAAAGCAUCGGCUAACUCCGUGCCAGCAGCCGCGGUAAUACGGAGGAUGCGAGCGUUAUCCGGAUUUAUUGGGUUUAAAGGGUGGGCAGGCGGACUGUUAAGUCAGCGGUCAAAGCCCGGGGCUCAACCCCGUCCCGCCGUUGAAACUGGCAGUCUCGAGUUGAAGAGAAGUAUGCGGAAUGCGCGGUGUAGCGGUGAAAUGCAUAGAUAUCGCGCAGAACUCCGAUUGCGAAGGCAGCAUGCCGGCUCCACACUGACGCUGAGGCACGAAAGCGUGGGUAUCGAACAGGAUUAGAUACCCCUGUAGUC